GACGAACGCUGGCGGCGUGCUUAACACAUGCAAGUCGAGCGGUAAGGCCCUUUCGGGGGUACACGAGCGGCGAACGGGUGAGUAACACGUGGGUGACCUGCCCUCAGCUCUGGGAUAAGCCUGGGAAACUGGGUCUAAUACUGGAUAUGACUCCACGGUGCAUGUCGUGGGGUGGAAAGCCUUGUGCGGCUGAGGAUGGGCCCGCGGCCUAUCAGCUUGUUGGUGGGGUGAUGGCCUACCAAGGCGACGACGGGUAGCCGGCCUGAGAGGGCGACCGGCCACACUGGGACUGAGGCACGGCCCAGACUCCUACGGGAGGCAGCAGUGGGGAAUCUUGCGCAAUGGGGGGGCAAAGCCUGACGCAGCGACGCCGCGUGAGGGAUGACGGCCU
rnacentral:rRNA from 1 species